rnacentral:rRNA from 1 species
CCUGCCAGCAAUCAUAUGCUUGUCUCAAAGAUUAAGCCAUGCAUGUCUAAGUAUAAGUGUAAUACGGCGAAACUGCGGAUGGCUCAUUAUAUCAGUUAUAAUCUACUUGAUCGAUAAUUUUACUUGGAUAACUGUAGGAAUUCUAGAGCUAAUACAUGCGAAAAGUCUGGACCGGGGGCAACCUUGGGAAGGACGUGUUUACUAGUUGAGAAACCAGGAUGGGGCGCAAGUUCCAUUUUAAAGAUGAUUCAUAGUAAGUUCACGAAUCGGGGCUCAUGUCUCGAUGAUGCAAACGAGUAUCUGCCCUAUCAACUUUCAACCGUAGUGUAGGGGACUACGGUGGUUGUAACGGGUACGGGGAAUUAGGGUUCGAUUCCGGAGAGGCCGCCUGAGAAACGGCGACCACUUCCAAGGAAGGCAGCAGGCGCGUAAAUUAUCCAAUCCCAAUUCGGGGAGAUAGUGACAAGAAAUAUCGGUGUGGGGCCUUAACGGUUCCACGAUCGAAAUGAGUACAAUUUAAAAACCUUAGCGAAACAAUUGGAGGGCAAGUCUGGUGCCAGCAGCCGCGGUAAUUCCAGCUCCAAUAGUGUAUAUUAAAGUUGUUGCGGUUAAAAAGCUCGUAGUUGGACCUUGGGGUUGAGCACAACAGUCCCUCUCGAUUCGUCGGGGGGAUCAAGGCUGAGUGUUUCUUCCUCUAAUCUCGAAACGUCAACGGGGAAACUCGUGUUUCGUAGGCUUUACUUUGAAUAAAUUAGGGUGUUUAAAGCAGGCACAAGUGCCUUGAAUACAUUAGCAUGGGAUAAUAGAAGAUGACCUUUGGUCUAUACUUUAUUGGUUUCUAAGGCCAGGGUAAUGAUUGAUAGGGACAGUUGGGGUCGCUCGUAUUCAGUGGUCAGAGGUGAAAUUCUAAGACCCAUUGAGGACGAACAAAUGCGAAGGCAUUCGACAAGGAUGUUUUCAUUAAUCAAGAACGAAAGUUGUGGGAUCGAAGAUGAUUAGAUACCGUCGUAGUCACAACCGUAAA